rnacentral:lncRNA from 1 species
AAGCUCAACGGCAAGAAUACAGUAGGCGAGAACAUCGCCGACAACGGUGGCAUUAGGAUUGCGUUCAAGACUUAUGACCACCUCUUGAAGACGUCCAAAACUCGCGAUGUCCGACUUCCUGGCUUAGAACAGCUGUCGGGCAAGCAUUUGUUUUUCAUCGCCAACGCAAUGGUGUGGUGUUCGAAGUCUCGCAAGGAAGCCCUUCAGCAACAAAUUCAGUACGACAGUCACAGCCCAAAACAAUACAGAGUCAACGUGCCCUUGCAAAACUUCGAAGCAUUUUCAAGCGUGUUUAAUUGCAACAGGUCGUCGCCUAUGUAUCCUAAAAAGAAGUGUGUUCUCUGG